GAUGAAGAACGCAGCGAAAUGCGAUAAGUAAUGUGAAUUGCAGAAUUCAGUGAAUCAUCGAAUCUUUGAACGCACAUUGCGCCCGCCAGUAUUCUGGCGGGCAUGCCUGUUCGAGCGUCAUUACAACCCUCAGGCCCCCGGGCCUGGCGUUGGGAAUCGGCGGAAGCCCCCUGCGGGCACAACGCCGUCCCCCAAAUACAGUGGCGGUCCCGCCGCAGCUUCCAUUGCGUAGUAGCUAACACCUCGCAACUGGAGAGCGGCGCGGCCACGCCGUAAAACACCCAACUUCUGAAUGUUGACCUCGAAUCAGGUAGGAAUACCCGCUGAACUUAAGCAUAUCAAUAAGCGGAGGA
rnacentral:misc_RNA from 1 species